CCUACGGGACGCACCAGUGGGGAAAAUUGCACAAUGGGCGCAAGCCUGAUGCAGCCAUGCCGCGUGUAUGAAGAAGGCCUUCGGGUUGUAAAGUACUUUCAGUCGGGAGGAAGGUGGUGAGCUUAAUACGCUCAUCAAUUGACGUUACUGACAGAAGAAGCACCGGCUAACUCCGUGCCAGCAGCCGCGGUAAUACGGAGGGUGUAAGCGUUAAUCGGAAUUACUGGGCGUAAAGCGCACGCAGGCGGUUGAUUGAGUCAGAUGUGAAAUCCCCGGGCUUAACCCGGGAAUUGCAUCUGAUACUGGUCAGCUAGAGUCUUGUAGAGGGGGGUAGAGUUCCAUGUGUAGCGGUGAAAUGCGUAGAGAUGUGGAGGAAUACCGGUGGCGAAGGCGGCCCCCUGGACAAAGACUGACGCUCAGGUGCGAAAGCGUGGGGAGCAAACAGGAUUAGAUACCCGCGUAGUC
rnacentral:rRNA from 1 species